rnacentral:rRNA from 1 species
GACGAACGCUGGCGGCGUGCUUAACACAUGCAAGUCGAACGGAAAGGCCCUGCUUUUGUGGGGUGCUCGAGUGGCGAACGGGUGAGUAACACGUGAGUAACCUGCCCUUGACUUUGGGAUAACUUCAGGAAACUGGGGCUAAUACCGGAUAGGAGCUCCUGCUGCAUGGUGGGGGUUGGAAAGUUUCGGCGGUUGGGGAUGGACUCGCGGCUUAUCAGCUUGUUGGUGGGGUAGUGGCUUACCAAGGCUUUGACGGGUAGCCGGCCUGAGAGGGUGACCGGCCACCUGGGGACUGAGAGACGGACCAGACUCCUACGGGAGGCAGCAGUCGGGAAUAUUGCACAAUGGGCGGAAGCCUGAUGCAGCAACGCCGCGUGCGGGAUGACGGCCUUCGGGUUGUAAACAGCUUUCGCCUGUGACGAAGCGUGAGUGACGGUAAUGGGUAAAGAAGCACCGGCUAACUACGUG